AUCUUUUUAUUAAUCUUUUAUUUUCAAUUUUAAUGCAUAUGCUUUAAAAGACGAUACGAUUUAGAAGACUGACAGGUAUGGAUUCAGGUGACUGGUUUCAUAAAUCAUACUUUUGCAAUGUUGCAAAAAUAUAAUAAAUUAAUUUGUUAUUGGUAAAAGGUUAAUCGUAUAGCAAUGGAUAAAAUAUCAAAGAAAUAUCAAGCUAAAAUUUCAACAUUCAUUUGGAUUUAAAUUACUAAACGAGAAAUAUGAUAAAAGAUAACUUAAGUAGUACGCAUUUGGCAACUCUCCUCUAAAUCCUCGAAAAUGUAAUUUCCGCGCGCGCGUUACAGUUAUUAAGAACCUCUUUUCCGUAAUCUUCUAAUGUCGGAAGAAUAUUUUACAAAGUUUGAAGAUUAAACUUUAAACCAUACUUAUCUAUAAACUAAAUUUUAUGUGAUUUAAGUGAUAUAUUUUUUAAACUUUAAGUACAAUAAUAAUUUCCUCUUUAAUAUAUUAUUACUCAUUGUGACAUUAUUACUUUGUCAUUACAAAAUCCCAUCAAUUAUAGCUAAUCAGAAAAUCCUAUCAGCUUUAAAGGCUCUGUAAAAGCUGUUUUUCGAAGAGAGGACGGUGAAUCCGGGAUGCAGUUGGAUCAUACGUCUCAAUUCUGUGCACAACGGUGCAUUAUAUUUGGCAUUAAGAAACCAGUAAUAAAAGCGGAUUAGUACCAGUCGAUUCAAAAGCUGGCUUGAGACAAUCUCGCUCGAGGGCACGCUUCGGUUUUUCCGGCGAGAAAAUCCCGCGCCCGUCUUAGACACCGCGACCGGUUUUCACCUUCUGACCGUGAGGCACGUAAUAUUACGUCACGUAUCUUGUGGCAUCCCGCGGUUCGAAAGAGAGAUUCCAUCGCCCUUUCUCGAUACAUGCGUAUUUUGCAACUCACUUCGAACGCACACGGCUCCUUCGAUCAACAAUGUACGCCAUUUAUUUCUCGCUCACGUAUACGAGGGGAAAACCCGGUUAGGCGCGAGGAAAAUCAAGCCGAGAUAUGUACCUCUUAUAUAUAGACUCGAUUUAUCUAAUUAUCAUCAUGCAGCGCUCUCGGCGGGAUAAAACGUCGCCUUCAGGCGAUGAAGUGUGUCAGUAGACAUAUCAAUCCUUGUACUGAUGAUCAAGAUAAAUUCUUCGCGAUUUUGCAAAGCGAGCGGGUUGACCUAAAUGUCGCGCGCGUCCCAAAAGUAAAUAGAGCCUCUGUCCAAAGUAAAAGCGACUUCGUUAUUAUUAUUAACUAAAAAAAAUUUUUUAACAGACUUUCCUACAGCGAGCCUUUAUAAAUUUUAUAUUCCAUGUUAAAUGUACUGUGUAAUAUGUUUUUGCGUAAUACGUUCACCUCGCAGAAAUUUAGACUGUUAUGUAGCGUACCAGGCGCAGUGUCUACACUUAUAUAAAAGAGGGUAUCUCUUAACCAUCCUAUCAUAACUCAUGCUAAAACUCAGUACUUGGGAUUAUAAUACGGUCCAACUUUCACUAGAGCGGAGAUCGAGAGCGGAGAUUCGAUAGGUCGGCCGGCGAUUCCGCAUUUCUGGAGGCCAGUAGGCCCAGCCUUCACGAUUACCGCACGCGCACGUGAUCGUCAUCGAGAACGAUUGUCAGCUUUAGAUAUUAGGGAGUUAAUACCGACUGAUCGAAAUGCGAUCAAAGUCGAUCCGUUAAGUUUGCGAACGACGUUUUGUAUUCCACGUGGGAAACGCGUCGAUUGCCACGAAGGUGUAAAACGUACAUACACACGUACAAUCCUACGCAUCAACGAACUCUUGCGAACUUCCAAACGCAAUUACACAAACGCCGCGCACGCUCAUGUUGCAUUGAUGAGAAAUAAUGAGGGAAUACGUGUGUCAAUGUGUGCACAAAGCUGUCGCUUCUUGUCAUACUCCUCUUAUUCGCGCGGCGGAACGACAGCUCUCAUUAGUUACUGUCCCGAGCGCGCUCGACCUUGAUUCUCGAUACCAUCAAUGACCAGCAUUGUCCGACCGAAUCACUCAUAUCGAUCAUCGCGCGCGCGACCCGAUGAGCUAACCGCGCGCGAAGAGAGGUCAGGCACGUCCUGACGCGCGCGCGGACAUCGGCACGGUGAAAGGCCAGGUAGGCCUUCGCCUUCUACAGAGUGUAUCUCGGUUUUUUUUUUUUUUCAUACGGCGAUCGAGAGUAAAGCGCGGCGAGCCCCGCGAUAGUUACUCACGCGGGAUGUACGAAGAACGAUCGCCACUAUGAGCAACGAUCCCUAUUAUCGCCUCUUGCAUUGUUUCCCCCGCCGAAGUAUGCGAUUAAGCGGAUGCAAAAUAAAAAAAAAAGAAAGAAGGGAAUUCAAAGCGAGGGACGAGAGAUCUAAUAUUUUCCCGAUUCUCUAUUAAUAUUGAUGUUGAAUUAAUAUUGAUGUUGAAUUUAUCGGAGUAUUAAUCCGCUAUUAAUCCAUGCAGCUUGAUUUAUUGGCUAAUUAGCAAUGACUAUCUAUCUCAGGUACGAUUGCGGGCAAUUAUCAUUAUCGUAUUAUGAAUAAUCCCAGUCUAGGCUAUUACAAGCGUUAUCGUUCCAUCUACACAUGUGUGUAUUGUUUUCAUCGCUACUUUAAUUUUAACCUGGUAAACGGCGCGAUUAAUUUUCCGUCACGCAUAAACUGUUAUUGUCUAUUAAUCUCGCUACUCGACCGUGACUCCCAUCUGACUGUUGCGUUGCGAUUUGAAACACGACGUCAUCGAGAAGGUGUUUCCUUGACGAAACCGCAGCGGGACGACGGACGAUCGGUUUGUUACGCCAAGAAGGACUAUCGGGGAAUAGCGAUUCAUUUACUUGGUCUUUAAUAAUAAUAAAACGGCGUCCUGUGGCGAGUGCACGCGCUGCACUGUGCCAAGAGAUCGCCCAGAGAUAAAAAUGGCACGGAGAUGUUUAUCUCCUCGCAUGGAGCUUACACAAUUUCGCGCGCCGUGGCAACCGCGUCGUGUCUACGUACGCAUUGGCCAACUCCCUCGAGCAAGGCUUUCCUUUCCUGUACGAUCAAUUUUCGCUUUUGCGACUGGGUGUCUAGAGAUGAAGCCGAUAAGCAAUAAUUCCCUUUAGUUAGACCACAAAUGCUUAUUCGCGCAUUUUUUUUUUCCUCGAAAUAAUAAUUUAAAUAAAAAAUAGGAUUAUAUACAAGUGAUAUUUUAUGUAUAUAUUCAUCACUUUGAAUAGAUUGCCCAACUGUUUCGUGCGCUCAUAAAAUCCAAGAACCGUGGAAUAUCAAGUAGGUUAAAGAUCUAAUGUUGUAAAAACAGAGACCUCCAAACGCGCACAAGCCCAGCGAUCAAAAUUCGGUUCACACAAGAGAAAAGUGUCUCCGACUCUGGAUUACGACGGUCUGACCCGACAGUUCCAUUUUUGAAACACCUCGUGUAAGUGUGAUUUGCUGACUCGGCAGGAGCAAAGGGAAUGAGGCCGGAUGGGUUAAUAUCAAGAAAGAGGAGUCACCGGCGCAAGCGUGUCCGGACUGAAAGAAGCCGUUUCCAGACGCCGCGGGCCGGUGAACGUCUGUCGUCCGCCCGGCCAGCGUUUCCGGUCCAGCGAACGCAAUUCGCUACGCGAUAAUUACCACCGUCGCGCCGAGCAUACGCGAACGGAGGAUUCCGCAAUCGGGAAGCGCACCCGGGGGCUACGUUCUCUUCCUUCAAAUAGACGAAUAUUCCGUAGACGUCGCGCGAUUAUCUCGGCCGAUGAAUCAUCAGCCGUGUUUCCCGCCAACGAGGUCGCCGCGCGUGUUUCCACACACGCCGUGUCUCCAUCCCCCUUCGUCCGAGCGGGUGUCGCGAAUGUCGCGAGAGAGACGCGCAAGGCCACUCCGACCGCGAGGACGGACGGCCGGGUGUCGAGAUUAGCGUCUGUUUUUAUCAUGCGAUGCAAAAGAGAGAGUGGGGAGACAGGAAUUGUUUGGAAUGGGGCGCGACGGGGGGAUUUUCGACGUAAUCAACGUGGUGACGGUAACGCGAUGGUGAUGGUGGUGGUGGUGGUGGUGGUGGUGGUGAUGGUGGUGGACACGAAAGUCGGGAUUUCAUGAUCCAGAAGAAGAACACGCGGGGGGAAGAGAAGACGGAAGGGCGGGGGCCCCGGCCGCGAAGAAAGGCAGGAGCUAUAAAAGAGCCGGCGGGCCUGACGAUGGGCAUCAAACACCAACAUGAAGGUAUGUAGAAGCGGGUCCAAUCGCGAACUCACAUACGCACCGUCUCUCUCUCUCUCUCUCUCUCUUUUCUUUCGCUGUCGCUCUUUCUCUCUAAUAUCGGUAAUGCAUAUAGCGCGCAGUUCAAUUUCUCGGGAUUGUUAAAGCCUCUCACGCCUGAUCGUUCUCUCGUUGCAGGUGUUCGUAGUUACGCUCGUGCUGGCGCUCGUCGCCACCGCAUACGGCGGUUACAUAAGCAGCGGCGGUGGAUUUGGCGGUGGUUAUGGCGGCGGCGGCGGAUUCGGCGGCGGUAGCAGCGGAUGGAAGCUCGGCGGUGGAGGAGGAUACGGCGGCGGUGGUUAUAGCGGCGGAGGUGGCGGAUGGAAAUUUGGCGGCGGAGGCGGAUAUGGCGGCGGCGGCGGCGGCGGUUACGGCGGUGGCGGAAAGAUCAUCAAGGUGAUCACGCUCAGCAGCGGCGGAGGAGGAUACGGCGGCGGCGGCGGCGGCGGAGGCUGGAAGUUUGGCGGCGGCGGUGGUGGAUACGGCGGUGGCAGCAGCGGCUGGAAGUUUGGUGGUGGAAGUGGCGGAUUUGGCGGCGGUGGAUACGGCGGCGGCAGCAGCGGAUGGAAGUUCGGUGGUGGAAGUGGCGGAUUCGGCGGCGGCAGCAGCGGAUGGAAACUCGGUGGAGGUGGCGGAUACGGCGGCGGCGGUUACGGCGGCGGAGGUGGUUGGUGGUAAUACUCACGAACAAUGAAGCGAGAUUUGUUCACCGAUCAUCCGCGCGCAUUCGUAAGCAUCGAUCGUCGUCGAUAAGGAAAUCAAUUCUGGCCAUUUGACCUUCGUCAGAAGAUCUGCCAUCGGAAAAUUCUAAAACGCCAAAACCGGGACGUCGCGUGAAGCAGAAGCGAGAGCCCACCGAGUACAUCGCCGAAUGAAUCCGCAGGGGAUGAAGGCGUUGUAGCUUACAACGCACGUACGAGGCCACCACUGUUACCCUUCUAUUCACCAAGUACAAGAAUAUCUCUUUGGAAACAGCGAACGAUAUCGUUGCCUCGCUUCUAGCCAUUCGACCUUGCCGCCGUGUCGUCUAGGCGAAACGACUUCCUUCUCGACGACGCGUUUUCUCUUCCCGCGUCCCGCCGCCGAUCGUCACCCAUUUCCUCUCUCACAAUCCCCAGAAAAUCGGCAAACGUUCCGUUUACGAGCGAAUCGUGCGCCUGAUAUUUCAAUUCUACGUAUGAACAUUCGCCAUCCCUCACCUUAACCCGCGCGCUCUCUUUCGAGGAUGAGAGGCGUCGGGGCAAGAUAGUCCCAUCGGCAUACAACAUUUUAGCCUGUUAUAAAACACGUAGCGCAGAAAUACUCCCGCGUAAUUCCCCGGGUAUUAUCACCCGAAUAUCACGCGCACGAGCGAGCAAGAGACGAAAAUCCGCAGAAUUACACCCCUGUGAAAGAAAAAAGCGUCAAUGAUCCGUUCCACCCGCGCACACUUCUAUUCUUUCCCCAAUUGUCUCUGGACCACCCCGUUCGAUUCAAUGAUCCACAAUAAAUGAGUCAUACUGAUACAAUAA